rnacentral:tRNA from 8 species
GGCCCCAUCGACUAGCGGUUAGGUCACCGGCCUUUCAAGCCGGCGGCGGGGGUUCGAGUCCCCCUGGGGUCACCA